CUAGAAUCUUGAUUUAAAAAAAGAAAAAAACAAAACCAACAACCAAGGAAACUGGUAUUCAAGAAAAUAGAUGAUGCAGAAG
rnacentral:lncRNA from 1 species